rnacentral:rRNA from 1 species
UGCAACCUACCUAUUAUUGGGGGAUAGCCUUUGGAAACGGAGAUUAAUACCGCAUAAUACGAUUGACUGGCAUCGGUUGAUUGUUAAAGCUUCGGCGAUAAUAGAUGGGCAUGCGUCCAAUUAGUUAGUUGGUUAGGUAACGGCUGACCAAGACGAUGAUUGGUAGGGGAUCUGAGAGGAUAAUCCCCCACACUGGCACUGAGAUACGGGCCAGACUCCUACGGGAGGCAGCAGUAGGGAAUAUUGGGCAAUGGGCGGAAGCCUGACCCAGCCAUGCCGCGUGCAGGAAGAAGGCGUUAUGCGUUGUAAACUGCUUUUUUAUAGGAAGAAGGAUCCCUUGCGAGGGAAGGUGACGGUACUAUAAGAAUAAGCACCGGCUAACUCCGUGCCAGCAGCCGCGGUAAUACGGAGGGUGCAAGCGUUGUCCGGAUUUAUUGGGUUUAAAGGGUGCGUAGGCGGUUUAUUAAGUCAGUGGUGAAAGACGGUCGCUCAACGAUUGCAGUGCCAUUGAUACUGGUAGACUUGAGUGAGAUUGAGGUAGCUGGAAUGGAUAGUGUAGCGGUGAAAUGCAUAGAUAUUAUCCAGAACACCGAUUGCGAAGGCAGGUUACUAAGUCUUAACUGACGCUGAGGCACGAAAGUGUGGGGAUCAAACAGGAUUAGAUACCCUGGUAGUCCACACUGUAAACGAUGAUGACUAACUGUUGGCUUUAGG